AUCCUGGCUCAGGAUGAACGCUAGCGGCAGGCCUAACACAUGCAAGUCGAACGGUAACAGGAAAGAGCUUGCUCUUUUGCUGACGAGUGGCGCACGGGUGCGUAACGCGUAUACAAUCUACCUUUUACAGGGGGAUAGCCUUUAGAAAUGAAGAAUAAUACCCCAUAGUAAGUAAAUUUCGCAUGGAAAUUACUUUAAAGAUUUAUCGGUAAAAGAUGAGUAUGCGUUCUAUUAGCUAGAUGGUAAGGUAACGGCUUACCAUGGCAACGAUAGAUAGGGGCCCUGAGAGGGGGAUCCCCCACACUGGUACUGAGACACGGACCAGACUCCUACGGGAGGCAGCAGUGAGGAAUAUUGGACAAUGGAGGCAACUCUGAUCCAGCCAUGCCGCGUGCAGGAAGACUGCCCUAUGGGUUGUAAACUGCUUUUAUAUAGGAAGAAACCUUUCCACGUGUGGAGAGCUGACGGUACUAUAAGAAUAAGGAUCGGCUAACUCCGUGCCAGCAGCCGCGGUAAUACGGAGGAUCCAAGCGUUAUCCGGAAUCAUUGGGUUUAAAGGGUCCGUAGGUGGAUAAUUAAGUCAGAGGUGAAAGUUUGCGGCUCAACCGUAAAAUUGCCUUUGAUACUGGUUAUCUUGAAUCAUUGUGAAGUGGUUAGAAUAUGUAGUGUAGCGGUGAAAUGCAUAGAUAUUACAUAGAAUACCAAUUGCGAAGGCAGAUCACUAACAAUGUAUUGACACUGAUGGACGAAAGCGUGGGGAGCGAACGGGAUUAGAUACCCCGGUAGUCCACGCCGUAAACGAUGGUCACUAGCUGUUCGGACUUCGGUCUGAGUGGCUAAGCGAAAGUGAUAAGUGACCCACCUGGGGAGUACGUUCGCAAGAAUGAAACUCAAAGGAAUUGACGGGGGUCCGCACAAGCGGUGGAGCAUGUGGUUUAAUUCGA
rnacentral:rRNA from 1 species